UACUCCCGGAGACCUCUGCUCUCACUGUCCGAAUCCGUUGCUGUUUCCACCUAGUUCAAGACAAAUGAUAAAUCUGCAGAAGUAAACACUGAACAUCUGGAAUUAUUACAACCUUAUGAAUGAAAACAAAGAUGAAGAGGAAGUCCAGAAAAGCUACAGAGGGAGAGAAAAGAAGACCCCAAAGCAAAAAGUAAAGAGCAGAUACAGAGAUGAAGAGAAUGACCUGUAGAAAAUCACCAGACAAGGAAUUAACUUUGGUCACAAUCUUCCCCCGAUGUCUGAUUGAACCUGAAAGUGAAAAUGUGGUGGGGAGGUACUAUAAUGGCCCUGAAGAAUAUUCUUUCAGCAAUGAUGUAAAUUUUCUCACUUUAAGUGAUGAAUAAAAUGAAGUCUUCACUUUGGAAUUUCAACCUGCAUCUCAGCUGAUCAUGUUUACAUUGUCAAGACCUUAAUCAGUUUAUUUGGUAACAGAUUAAUAAUUGUUUAUGUAUCUGAAAUGUUACUUAAAACUUCAGCAUCCCUGAUAUGUCAGUUCUCCUUAAGUAUGACAUAUCGCAAAGGCCUGCUAUACUACAUAAGGAAGCAUAUUUCCCCCUCUUUCUUUUAUUCAUUCAGAAUACUAGUAACAUUCUGUAUACAUGUUGGAAAAUAUCAAAGUGGCUCUAUGGCUUAUGAAAAUAUUUAUUGGUGCCUGAAAUUCCCAUCUGCAGGGUUUGCAUCUGCUAAUUGAGAAUAAUUACCCUAAUUACCUACUUGCAUAUAGCAAUGAGUGCAGAGAUCUAUAAUGCCGAAAAUGCCUUUUCCCUGCUCCACAAGUUAAAUCUUUGCAUCUGCAGGUUGUUUUCCCCGUACACAGGAAUUCAUAUGGUAGUGUGCCAUCCAAAGUUCAGAACCUGAGUUCUGAACAGAAGUCAUGCCUUGCAUGAAAAAAGGCACACAUCUCACUUCAACGCACUUGCAACGUGCAGCUGGUUCUUUGUCUGGAUUUUUAGUUGUGUUCUUCAGGGCGUUUUCCAGAUUACACGCUGCAACAGUUUUGCAACGUGUCCGUUAAGCUCCCUUCUGCAUUUCUCAUGUUGUGACACUGUGGUUGCUGCGCUGUCACCAGAGUGCUGUACAUAUUUCUGAUGCCUUGAUUCAGGGUUUAUUGAUGUGUUUUGUCCCUUUAAUGUUGUAAAAGUGUUGCAGGAAUGUGCUGUGUUUUCCCAUUGUAUGGAGGCUUCCCCCAUGCUUGAUGCGCUGCAGC